ACGGGAGGCAGCAGUGGGGAAUAUUGGGCAAUGGGCGCAAGCCUGACCCAGCAACGCCGCGUGAAGGAUGAAGGUCUUCGGAUUGUAAACUUCUUUGAUCAGGGACGAAUAAAUGACGGUACCGGAAGAACAAGUAACGGCUAACUACGUGCCAGCAGCCGCGGUAAUACGUAGGUGACAAGCGUUAUCCGGAUUUACUGGGUGUAAAGGGCGUGUAGGCGGUUUGGCAAGUCAGAAGUGAAAUUCCCGGGCUUAACUUGGGGGCUGCUUGUGAAACUGCUUAACUUGAGUACUGGAGAGGAUAGUGGAAUUCCUAGUGUAGCGGUAAAAUGCACAGAUAUUAGGAGGAACACCGGUGGCGAAGGCGGCUAUCUGGACAGUAACUGACGCUGAGGCGCGAAAGCACGGGGAGCAAACAGGAUUAGAUACCCUGGUA
rnacentral:rRNA from 1 species